AGCGAACGCCGGCGGCAGGCUUAACACAUGCAAGUCGAACGAACUCUUCGGAGUUAGUGGCGGACGGGUGAGUAACACGUGGGAACGUGCCUUUAGGUUCGGAAUAACUCAGGGAAACUUGAGCUAAUACCGAAUGUGCCCUUCGGGGGAAAGAUUUAUCGCCUUUAGAGCGGCCCGCGUCUGAUUAGCUAGUUGGUGAGGUAAAAGCUCACCAAGGCGACGAUCAGUAGCUGGUCUGAGAGGAUGACCAGCCACAUUGGGACUGAGACACGGCCCAAACUCCUACGGGAGGCAGCAGUGGGGAAUCUUGCGCAAUGGGCGAAAGCCUGACGCAGCCAUGCCGCGUGGAUGAUGAAGGUCUUAGGAUUGUAAAAUCCUUUCACCGGUGAAGAUAAUGACUGUAGCCGGAGAAGAAGCCCCGGCUAACUUCGUGCCAGCAGCCGCCGUAAUAC
rnacentral:rRNA from 1 species